AGAGUUUGAUCCUGGCUCAGGACGAACGCUGGCGGCGUGCUUAACACAUGCAAGUGGAGCGACGAACCAGGGCUUGCCCUGGGGCAGAGCCGCGAACGGGUGAGUAACACGUGGGUAACCUGCCCCGAAGACCGGGACAACCCGAGGAAACUCGGGCUAAUACCGGAUGUGGUUGCUCUUCAUAAGUAGAGCAAGCAAAGGGAGCUUCGGCCCCCGCUUCGGGAUGGGCCCGCGGCCCAUUAGCUUGUUGGUGAGGUAACGGCUCACCAAGGCUUCGAUGGGUAGCUGGUCUGAGAGGACGAUCAGCCACACUGGGACUGAGACACGGCCCAGACUCCUACGGGAGGCAGCAGUGGGGAAUCUUGCGCAAUGGGCGACAGCCUGACGCAGCAACGCCGCGUGAGGGAAGAAGGCUUUCGGGUCGUAAACCUCUUUCAGGAGGGACGAAGCUUCGGGGGUGAAUAGCCUUCCGGAGUGACGGUACUUCCACAAGAAGCCCCGGCUAACUACGUGCCAGCAGCCGCGGUAAUACGUAGGGGGCUAGCGUUGUCCGGAAUCAUUGGGCGUAAAGAGCGCGUAGGCGGCCAGAUAAGUCCGGUGUGAAAGUCAAAGGCUCAACCUUUGAAUGCCGCUGGAAACUGUCUGGCUAGAGUCCGGGAGGGGCGAGUGGAAUUCCUGGUGUAGCGGUGAAAUGCGCAGAUAUCAGGAGGAACACCAAUGGCGAAGGCAGCUCGCUGGAACGGUACUGACGCUGAGGCGCGAAAGCGUGGGGAGCAAACAGGAUUAGAUACCC
rnacentral:rRNA from 1 species